AAAGCUUGGGCCCAUUCAUGCUAAACCCAUCAGAAGCAACAAAGCAAUGGAAUAUAACAUGUGUGGUGAUGAUUCAGCAAGGCUAAUGCACAUGGGGAAAUAAAAUGAGAGGCUUAGAACACCACACUCUCAAAGCUUACACUUCUAUUUUCGUUGUUGUCUCCGUCGUGCCGGAGGUUCCCUCGGCUACAGAGAUUUUGUAGAAUUCAAAAAAUUGACCACUAAACUCUCCCUCUUCAUGUCCUCAAUCUUAGUCCAACAUCAUUUUAACCUACUCCAGCCUCUAAUGUCCUAACCGAACCAAAAUAUGUUUGAACCCUAACCUAAAGAAUCAUAAACUAAAUUUUUACGGUGAACGAUUAACUGACGAGACCUUAGGGCUUCUACUCGACGCAUCUCAAGCCUUCGCAUGGUAUCAAGAAUGGAGAAAAAAGAUGAAAAAAGGUGAAGACGCGAUGGCCUACUUGUCGGAGUAGUUCCGGUGACUCUUCAAUGACGAAGAUAAUACACGAACCAGAUAUCUCCAAGCUCCUCAGUGAUAGAAAUCCUGCUAACUGAACUUGAUGUCUGGAUGCAAUGAAUAAUCUGUUGCAGGACUGGCUUGCUUAGCUUGAUCAUUGAUGUUGGAUUGGUGAUGCAGGAUGCUAUUGGCUUAGGUUCUGCAAUGUAAGUUUGUGGCUUAAGGUCCUCACUUGGUGUGUGUUCAAUUGAUGCAGGCAGGGUCGUGUAUGUAGGCUGCAACAUGAGGGAGUCAUAUGGUGAAUGUUCUACAUGGUGCAUAAUCUGUGUUGAUUCUUGGUCUGCUAUGGAAUGUGGCAAGGUUAAUAGGUUUCUUCUUGGUCUUAAAUGUCAUGUUGAAAUAUGAAAUAUGUUCAUGUAUGGCUAUGUGCUUGCCAUGAAUAUGCAUUGCUUGGUUGGCUUUAUGGGUAUGUGUUAAUUUUGAGGUCAAGUCAUUUCAUGCUUUUAGUCAUUGUUAUGAAUGCAAGAUUGUAUUUUGGUGCAAGGCUUACUUGUGGCAAUGUUGCAAGGCAAAACUUAAGGCAUGGCAAGGCAUGAAGCCAUAUUGAUAAUCAAAGUGGGAAAUCAAGCCUACAUAGCCAAAUCAAGGUAAAAUGGAAAUGGAGGAUGAAAUUAGAGUUAAGACUAGUCAUUUAGUGAUUUUGGAUGAACAAGGACUUAUGUUGACUUUGGUCAAAGUUGACCAAAAAGUCAAAUGUUGACCAAAGUCAACAAUUGGUCAACAUGUAAUUUAUUUUGGAUUUAUUUGGUAUGUAAUGAACAUUUAUGUAUGAUAAUGAAUAAAAUUGGCUUUUUGAAUAAAAAAUUACUGUGUUUAAUGUA